GUGACCUGGUUGACAUUCAGCUUUGCCCAUACAGAAAUAAAUCACAUUUUACACACAGCAAAAUAUCCAGUGUUGUUUAGAGUUGUUUUUAUGGUGUUCAUUUCUGGUGUUGAUCUGAAUGACAUUAACACUUGCAGUGUAAAUCAGUGGUCGGAGUCAGUGUAAUUUCAGCGAGUUGACAUAAUUGACACUGGUGAUGAGUUGAUCCAAUUUCCAGUCCCUGCACAUUAUUUCCUUUUUGAUUAAUGGAGAGGACAGUGUUCAAACAGGUAUAUUAUUUUAUAACCACUUAAAUUGACCAAUUUUCAUGUUUAGUUUACGUUUCUCACCAUCCAGAAUAACAUUAGUACAUUUCUCAACAUUGCUAGAGUGCUAACAGUGUUUCUUUUCAGAUAACGUGACAGACCACCGACAGCAUCUCGAGGCCAUUUAGCUGCACCACUUGCUAGCAAGCAAAUUGAGCUUUCAUGUUCAUCAAGGCGUGAAGACAUUUGUAAAACUGCACAGCAAUAGUAGGUUCCAAGACUUUCUCACUGAAGGAGAUCCCCACCCGCAAACAGCAGGAAACUUAUGCCUUGGGCAUUAUUUCUCUCUUUCCUAGCCUGAGAGACCAGUUUUUAACAAAGGGCUAUGUAAGAACCUUUUGCAUUGAUGUACUUUUU
rnacentral:lncRNA from 1 species